rnacentral:rRNA from 1 species
GAUGAACGCUGGCGGCGUGCCUAAUACAUGCAAGUCGAGCGAACGGACGAGAAGCUUGCUUCUCUGAUGUUAGCGGCGGACGGGUGAGUAACACGUGGAUAACCUACCUAUAAGACUGGGAUAACUUCGGGAAACCGGAGCUAAUACCGGAUAAUAUUUUGAACCGCAUGGUUCAAAAGUGAAAGACGGUCUUGCUGUCACUUAUAGAUGGAUCCGCGCUGCAUUAGCUAGUUGGUAAGGUAACGGCUUACCAAGGCAACGAUGCAUAGCCGACCUGAGAGGGUGAUCGGCCACACUGGAACUGAGAAACGGUCCAGACUCCUAAGGGAGGCAGCAGUAGGGAAUCUUACGCAAUGGGCGAAAGCCUGACGGAGCAACGCCGCGUGAGUGAUGAAGGUCUUCGGAUCGUAAAACUCUGUUAUUAGGGAAGAACAUAUGUGUAAGUAACUGUGCACAUCUUGACGGUACCUAAUCAGAAAGCCACGGCUAACUACGUG